CAAACAUCCUGCAGAAUCCUCCAGCAUUUCUCAACAGCCUUCCCUGCUCUCUUCCCCCCUGCCAGGUUGUGAGUACAACUCCAACAGCCCCCGGAUCCUUGGAGAGCUGCCCACAGAAGGCAGAGGUUCGUGUGCCUUUCUUCCUGAAUUAACCACCAACACGUGUGUCACUGCUUUGCUGUUGACCCCACGCCUUUGCUGUUGCAUAAAGGUAGGUCUGCCUUCAGCCAGCUCUCUUCCUGCACAUUCCAAGUGCUCUCCUUUCUCCCCUCAGCUGUCAUCUCGAGCAGCCUGGCUGCUGAAGGCAGUGGGUGGGCGAGCACACACCACAGGAGAUGGCUGAUCUCCCGUAGCACUUCUGCUCAGGGAUGUGCUCUGCCAUGCCAGCAUUCUCCUCCACCUCUCCCCACUGCACGAGGGGCACAAAGCACCGCUUCAUCUGGGGGCUGAGGAGGAGCUGUGGGGAGAGUAGCAGGGCAGGGACUGGCACUCCUGGGUGCCUCUGUAGAUAUGGGGUGACCCUUCUCCUGGGAGAGGCUUUGAAGUGGAUGUCUGGGACAUUGAGGGGCGGUGACAACUCAAACACAGCACCUGAUUUCCCAGAAGUUGUGUGUGUGGUGCUGCUGACUUGGAGCAGCUGGCAAGAAAGUAAAAACAGUCCGUCCCCCCCCCCCCCCCCCCAUCAUUAUUUAAACAGUAUAAAGUUCUCUGUAAAUGUUUAAAACAACAACAGGAUUGGGAGGGGAAGGAGGAAAGACAAACAAGUUUGCUGUUGGAGCUUUGCAGAAACAGAUCUUAAUUUUUUGGCAGGGUUCUCCUUGCCCAGAAGAUCCAGCUGCCAGCACACUUCAGGAGGCUCCAAAUUCAUUAUCGCUUCUCUAACAUCUCCCUCCAACAGGCUGCAGUUUAGCACGGGCAGUGCCUUUGAUGUCGGGGCUUGGCCAGCACCUCGUGCUGUAGGAUCCCAGUUCAUCUCUGGGGCAUCUCUGCUUGGGAUCGAUGGUGUGAGUGCUCCCAGAGAUGCUUUUCUUUCCCGGCCCUGAGGUUCGUGGUUGGUGAAACUCAGCAGGAGCUGGGGAGCUCAGUGGAGUGUUGUGCCUGCAUGGGAGUGGGGCAGGAACCAGGGGCAGGAUGUGGGGGCUCCUAGUUUCCAGCCCAUUGCCUCUCCUUUCUCUUCUACAUCAGUAGCACUGCCAGCACCUGAUGCAUUAACACAGCAGAAACCCUAGAUAACCUCUGAAUACACAGCUGGUAAAGUGACUUUCAUUCAGCUUCUCACAGUUGAAGGGUGGGAGCAGAAUCCUGGCUGGGCUCCAGGCUGAGGGGGGACUUGGUGGGGAUCUGAAGCCCUGGGUACUGAGGGUUUGCUGGAGACCAGUGGCUGCUCUCCAGAUCCCAAGCCCUGGAGCAUCUGCCCCCAUGGGGAUCCUGGGGAAAGGGGCCAUUCUUCUUAGCAUGGGGUAGACCUUGGGCUGAGAAAAAGAGGUUGUGUCCUUGGUGGGGGGACCUAUGAGAACCGGGUCCUCAGAGAGCAGAGCAGGACAGUGUUCCCCAACAACCUGAUGUCUCAGCUCAGCCUCCAUCAGGGCUCAUUGCUGCCUGGUCCCACGUGCUCUGCUCCUGCCCAAUCCUGCUCAGACCCUGCAGUGUAUAUACCACCCCAGCACCCAGAGCUGGGUGUCACUGCUGGUCCUUGGCUGGCAUAGCCUGUGUGGCUAUAGAAAUAGGCUGUGUUUGCUUCCUAAUAUGUAUUCCUGCUUCAACUGCUUGGUCUGGUGCUGAGCUACAGCAGGAAGAUCUUGUUGCAGAGAGGCCCCGCUGCCCCUGGGGGGGGUUCAGGAGCUGACCUUGCCGCUGUCACUCCUUUACCUAUGUGCAGGUCCUGCAAUGAGGGUGCCCACGGCGUUUCCUUGAGCUGCUGACCCCAGGCUGCUGUUGGUGCCCUGUCCUCCCUCCCCAUGUUCCUCCUCCAGGCAGCUCAGCACCACCCCAGGCAGCACUGGCUAAGCUCCCACAGGGGUCUCCUUUACUCUUCCAACUUCAGCCAGCCCUGUGCAGAACCUCCACUGAGAUUAAAGAGCGAUGCAGUGUGAAACCUUCCUCCUCUUCAGCAGAUGGUGUUUGCGGCAGUGGACGUUUCCUGUGCUGUUGUAACAGAACGGCCUGGUCUAGCCAGGAAGCAGAAGUGGAAGAUGCAGUCUGGUCUUGCUGAGGCUGCCUUGCUUUGCAGACCUGACCUGAGAUCCUGGAUCACAAAUGAUCUCUUGCUUUCUCAAGUAUCGGAUGUUUGUUUUUUUUUUCCCCCUUUUUUUCCUCCAUGUUCAACCCAUGAGCUGAAGAGCUGCCAUGCCUUGCUGCAGCCAGCAGCUUCUGUCACUGCAGCACUCACAGCAGCCUCCUGGGGCUCGGUGCCCGCAGAUGUGCUGUGUGAUGCAAUGUGAACUUCACAUCACCUUCACGGAAAGACUGAAACGCAUCUAAACUGGAGCUCACCCGGUGUCACUGCCUUAGGCUGAACAGAGCACUGCUACAUCUGUCCUAGCUGUGAACUUCCAGCCUGAAAAGCCUCACGGGUGGUGAAAUGGUGCCCUGACUGAGUGAGCUGUGGUGGGAGCUUUCAGCUGGUAUUGCUUCUGCACACCAAGAAGGGGCAGCUGCACAUCCAUCAGGCUUAGUGCUGUCAGACCAGGUUGAGAUUGCUGAGUGCUGCAGUGGAUGCAUUUGAGACAAAUCUCAGGUGAGGGAGAGAGGAAAUGCAUAUGGCCUCACUGCCUCCCUGGAGCCAGCACUGUGACUGCUCCCUGGAGAGCAGCUCCCUGACUGCAUCAGCUCCCCGAGCAGCUCUGCUCCUUCUCCUCCCAGCAGCCAGAAACUGCCUACGUCAGCUUUUACCUUCCGAUGGAAACCGGCUGAGCAACAGCAAUGGGGAGCGACCCAUGGGCACUACGUGCUGCUGCAAGCUCUGUCCCACACCCGGGCAAGCCUGGGGUAUGAACCUCUGUGCUUCAGGAGCUGCAUUCCCCUGCCAGCUCUGCAAGCCACCUGGUGCCAAAGGAUUGCAUCCGCGUGAUAAAUCCCAUUGCUGUUCUGCUCAGGAAGUAAUCUGGUGAACCAGGAAAGAGAACGUUGCUUGCUACCAGCCUUCUUUCCAAGCAAUUGCACAACACUGCUCCGGGGUUAGCAAACUGCAGACAUCUGGGAGCAAUCGAUGCUGUUUAGGCUCUGAGAAAGCACAAGAGAAAGUUAGAAGGAAGCAACUUGAAAGCUCAGCAUUGUUAAAAGCAGUCUGGAAACCCUGGAAAUCCACAAGAGGGUAAUGCCUACAAACAGCCCGGAGGCAGAAGGAAUGAGAAGGACGACGGGAACAGCAGCCUCCACAGGAGCCUUGGAAAUGGUUAAAGAUGUGGGGAGCCACAUCUUCUGUGACAACCUGCCCCCCCCCCAGCACCCCCAUAAAUGAGAAACCUCAUCAGCCUCGCGCUAUUAGUGCUACGCAGCAUUAAAGUCUCUCAUUUGGGAUAAACAUUCUCAUCUCCAGCAGAGCAUGAAUAACAUUAAAUGAGAUAGUUAAAAUGUUUCAGGCCAAUUAUAGCCCCGGUGUAAGUUGGGCAGAGUUGCACCAGGGAUUAAUUUGAUGCGGAGAGCUCUGCCUCCUGUUCCGAGCCGGGAUUCCAGUGCGGGUAAUUACAUCCUGCCUCUGCGCUUCCUCUGCAGUUUUAAUUGGGUUGAAUGGACCAAAUCCGCAGCAAGUGUAAAUCUAUGUAAUUGAGCUCUCUCUGGAGAGGAACCCUGCUGCUUUACACCCUCCAAUCUGGGCCAGCGCUCUUCCCUUCCUCCCUGCCGGGCUCCAGCUGCCCAAAGCUGGCUGCCACCCCACGAAGGGCUCCCAUUCUGCCCUUGGAUGAAAGUCAAUGCUUUCCCAAGCUGCCUUGGACAGCCCGGAGCCCAACCCCUGCAUUGGUGCAGGUGAGGCCCGCAGGGUCCCCGUCUGCUUUUGCGUGCGCUGUGCCUUCUGCUGGGAAACAGCCCCGUUAAGCGGCCUCCUCCCCAUCGCCUGUCCGUGUCCCAUCCCAGAUCCAGGCUCCAGCACACAGAGCAGGCAGCUGGACCGUCUCCCUCUCCCACUUCCCAACCCGCUGAGUAAAUCAGCAGUAAUGAGGGACAUUUGACCCUCUCUUUCCCCGAACAGCCUCGAGAAGCAUUUUUCUUCCAUGAGGUACUUAAGAAGCUUGAAGUGCUUUCCUCCUCCUGCUUCUAUUGUAGCUUUGCUUUCCUUGAUUUUGUUUGCUUGUUUGUUUUUCUCUCCUAGGAAAGGACAAGAUAUGGGACGCAAGGAACCUUCAGGAUGCCUUGGGAAUGGAGGGGAUGCAGCCAGUUUGGGUCCUGUCUCUUUUGGUCCAGCAGAAAACCGUGUGUGCGAUCAGAGCUGGGAAAGUGCUCCUGCUGGCUGUAAUUAGGGAUGUCAUUGCAAAGCAUUAUCUCACAGAGCUGGAGCCUAUACAGAGCCAUACGUCCUCCGUAGCCAAUUGUGCACGGAGGUGAUGGGAGAGGGAAGGGUGCUGGGAACGCUCUCCCUCACUCAUUUCCAGGACGUUCUGCUGCUGUGUGGUCCCUUUCCCUUCUCACAGAGCAAUGAUGAAAGCAGACAGCCAGCGAGACCCCGGGGAGCCGCGCAGUGCAGCCCAUGGCUUCUCUUCCAGCCAAGGCUGUGUGGAGCUGCGGGUCCUCACCCCCAGCUGGGCUCAGCCCACUCCUCCAUUUCCCGUUCGCUUUCUCCCAGAGCAUAUUUUCGGGACGUGGAGAUGUCCCAACCCUCCCUUCCUCCCCAGCGGUAGCGCAUCUCGGAGGGGCCACGAGGGCCGUCGCUGCCGGUCCUGCUCUUCUCGUAAAGCACAGCGAGCUUCUGGCCAGCAGCAGCCAUGCAAUUUCAGAGAUUGAGCAAAUUCCCCCUCCCACCCACUGAGGACCUCCCGGGACCGGCGCACAUCCCACCACAGGCAGCAGCCACCUCGGCCAGCCGCCCAUUGCUGCAACGGCUUGAGUCAAUUGAGACCAUUUCUCAUGCAACCCAUCCAUACCGGAGGUCCCCAGGAGGAGGGUUGGCUCAGGAAAACCUUCAGCCCCAAACCCAGCACUCCCCCAUGCAGCUGACGGAGCACAGCUCACAGCGCAGUGACCCGAAGCGCCGCGCCGUCUGUGCCACGUCCAGCUGGCCCUUCCGCUUUGCUGGCGUGCUCCUUCCUGCUUUUAUUUUGGCUCUUUUUUGUGUGGGUUUUUUUCUUUUUUUUGGCUACGUAUGCGUGCAAGUCCAGAUGGGAGGAAAGGUCAGACUUGCUGAUGGUAAGGCCCAGGCUGAAAUCUGGGUUUGCCCUAAACCCGGGAUGGCUGUGGCUGGAUGAGCCCUGCUGGUGGGCUCAGCCAUCUGCCAGGAGAGCUGCGCCGGGCUCUGCGCUCACACGUUGGGGCUGUUGGAGCUCUGGCUCAUCUCCAUCCCGGUUCUGUCCUUGCCCACAUGCAGCUCCGCUCAUCACUGCCCACCCAAACACGCUCGGCCUCCUCUCGCUCAGCUCCUGACCUUUAUUCUCCCUUAAAUCAAUACGCAGAGCCGUGCUGCAGCAGUACCAGCACCUCCGGGGAGCCCAGGUGAUGUAUAGCAUCCAAGGAGCUGCUUCUGCUUUUGAGGCUCCCAUCCAGAUAAGCUUUUGUCUUUCCAAUCUGUCCUGUGCUGCGUGGGCCCUGCGUUCAUCCCCUCUGCUCCUGGCACUAUUGACUCCACAUUUGCUUUCAUUCUGCUGUAAAAUGAAGGCAGCUCCAGCUACAGCAGCGGUUUUAUUCUUCCUGAAUAUAAUGCCUUUAUGAAAAUAAAAUCAAAAGUGAGUUGGGACCGGAAAGGUUUAAUUAAAAAGCUUCAGGGGGGAAUAAGAAAUCUGUUAGGAAACCUCUGCGGACGUUCAGCAAGUUCUCCCUGCAGAGAAGCAGCCUGAAGGGAGCUGCAGUGUCUGCCUGUGCCCUGCUGGUGGGAAGGGAUGAGAGGUGCAGUGAAGCUGGGAGCAGCCCAGGUCAGGUGCUUGCCUUUCCCACUGCUGCACCAAAAGCAGCCAUAACCACAAAGACCCCACCUCCUAUUCCCUCAUACCCCUCGGGGAAAGGAUAGGAACUGCUUUCUUGGCCAGGCUGAAGCUGACAUCCGCCAGUCCCAAUGCCUGAUCAAUGCAAACCAAUGGACUUUUCCCAUCAGAACACGUCCUUUUUUUUCCAGCAGGAUGCCGAGUUCUCAGACAAAUGAAGGCUCCGUUUGGCAGCGGAUAGAAAACAGGAAUAUUUGUCUUUAUUCCGAGACUGAAUUUUUGUGGCUAAGCUGCACCAAAAAUACAUCUUCCCCCCCCACCUCUCCCAGACAUGAGACACCAUUGAAUGCUGAAAGCAACUCUUCCCUGCCACAAAUGGACCAAAUAAACCCAGCACGAGACCGGUGCUUAGCAGAAACCAGAUGCGCCUCUAAUGCUGUCGUCUACAGCAAGCUGCGUCUGCAAACUGAUCUUUUAUUAAUGUGUGUGCACGGGUGGGAGAGCUGGGAGAGUCCCAGCGCCGGGAGCACAACGUGCCAUCGCCCCGUGCCCAUGGGCUGCCUUAUGGCUCCCAAAGGGCAUCGCUGCGGGGUUACCCAAAGCCCCUCCGGACCCAGCAUUCGGGAUUUGCAGCAUUUGGCCUCGGUUUACCCCGAGCUGCACCAUGGAGGUGGGUUUUGGAGGGGUUCUCGGCGUGUUCUGUGGCUGCAGGAGGAGAAGGAGCUGUUAGUUGGUGCUGGCAGCUGAGAUGGGUGAGGUGAUCCAGGACGCUCCCCCCAUCCGCGUGGCUGGAUGUGCCCUCACCUGGGAGCUGGGCAGCUGUUGGAAGCACCAGAAAGGGCUUUCCCCCCCCCUGGUCUGCCCAGUUCAGGCUCUGUGUCUCUAUUUCCACGCACCUCAGGAGCAGCCACUUUCCAGAGCUCACGCAGCCUCACCAGUAGGCAAAGAGACCUGUAAAUCCUGGGAGAAAUAUGGAGAAACCACCAUUAAACAGCAGGCAGAGUCUGCGAGAGGUGUGGCAGGGCAGAGAAGCAACAAAACAGGCUUUUUCUCCCCAAUUCCCCCUCAUUUCCACACUUUCCCCAGAGGCCCUUCCAACCCAAGCUGUUCCAUGACUCUCUCUCGUGUCAUCCAUCCCACCUGGUCUGGCUCUGCAGCAGCGUUAGGUGGCGCGAGGCUCAGAGCCUUCCUCCCUCCUGGACUCCUCUUCCUCUCCCUCGGGGUGCCUGAGGAUGGAAAACAUGGGCUGAGCCUGGACCGGGCUACACUGGGAGCAUCUGAACCCAUUUGGCUUUCCAAAUGGAAGGUGCUAACUUCCACAGCAUGGCAAUGAAGGAGCUGCGCCCUCACCAUCACCCAAACCCACCUUUUCUCCAUGUUUUCCCCAUAUUUUCCCCAAGUUUUCCCCAUGUUUUCCCCAUGUUUUCCCCCAGCUCUGCUCAGCUGAAGCCCCACGAGGCUCUGCUGCAGCACAGUUUGGCCUGGAAUAUGCUGAUUUUAGCCAACACAUCUUUUUUUUUUUUUUUUCCUUUCUUUCUUUUUUCUUCUUUUUUUUUGCCAGGAAAUAAAUAAAUCAUACAAUUCCUCAUCGCUUCCUUCCAGCAUCCCUCCCUUUAUCACGGCGCGUCCUUCCCUCGGGCUUUGGAAUUGGGUCAGUGAGCAGAACCCGGCGGCAGCGGCUGCUUCCCAGCGAUGUUCAUAGAAAGCUGCUGCAGCCCCCGAGUGCUUUGGGGUGGAGGAUUCACCUUUUGGGUCCCAUCCCAUUGGUGGGAGCCGGGGCAGAGCAGGGAGCAGUGUGACGCCGUGAUUUGCACUGCUGCUCCACUUCCGCGUGGUCACCCGGUGGUGAGCAGUGGGAUCAAGGGGGAUUUGCGCCUUGGGGACCUAACAUUGGCCGCCCCCUCCAAGGUUGGGCUACCCAAACCAGCAGAGAGCCCGGAGCAGGGCUGAACCCUCCCCCACCCCAUGCACCCCAUGGCUCCUCCAGCUGUGAUGCGUCUCCUUCCCAUUGCAAGAACUGGGGGUCACUUCCAGUACCUCACUCAAAAACCAGAGGAGAAGGCUGGGACUUGCUCUGAGUCACUGGCAUGUUGUUACCAAGGACACUAAGGUUCCCAGUUUUGAAGAAGAGAUUAAUUACCCUCUGCAAAUAGACAUUUUAUCUGCAUUAAAGAGCAGCAAGAGCUGAUUCUUUUGGCGUAGCUCAUUAUGUAGCAGCAGGUAGUAUUGUGACAGAUGUAGGAAUCCAGUGGCAUUGUCACUUGGGUUUAAUCAUCAGAAAGCUGUCUUCCCAGGUCAGCUCUGAGUGAGGAUUUGUAAUAUUUACAUAGCACUUGGGCUGCCUUCUUGCUGCCGGAGUCUGCAUUCACUCGUCAGCCUCUCAUUAUGCAUGUGCCAGUAUUAAUUGCAUUUAGAAAUGAGAUUCUAAAGGAGAAGUGAGAGCUAUUUAGACCUCCAUUCAGCUUGAAAGACAGCAGCUUUCAGUGUGACAGCUCUCGAGAUGCUCUCGCGCUCGGCUCUCUCCCCAGCUGAAAGCAGGUGUUGGAGAGAGUUGUGUCGGAGCCUCUGUACCAGCACUGCCUUUUGUGCAUGCCCAGACAUUUAUAUAACAGGCGGUAUAAUGACUCCGCAGAAGUGGCAGAGAAUUGACCCUUGUGGGUCUGGAUUAAAGCACAGAGAUCCGCUCAUAGACACAAGGGGGAAAGCGAUGCUAACGUUGCCUCCUGCCUCGUCUCCGGUGGAAGGAGGGGGUUAUUUUCCUGCUGGUUGGUUUGGGGGUUAUUUAUCGGCUCAGAGCUGUACUCGUGGCCUCACUAAUGUAUUUAAAAUCACACAGAGAUUCAGCUGACACUUGUCUGUGCAUGCCUGCUGUGUGCUGAUUGCUCUAGCCCGGAGAUGCGCUCGCAAUGAGGAGCUCACGUCCUGCUUGGUGCUGGCAAUGAGGAGCUCAUGUCCUGAUGGUGCUGGAAACGAGGAGCUCACGUCUUGCUUCCCGGAGGGGACGGGGCUGGGAGGUGAAAGCCAGCUCUGUUUUUGGCAGCUCGAGGUGCAGAGGGGCUGCUCUCACCUCGCACAAAGCUCCGGCUUGUGGCACCUCCACUUCCCCAACCUCGUGUCCCCUUGCGCAGCCCUGACCCCAUGCGCUCCACUGGAGACUGGGGGAAAGAAGCUGAGGAAGGAAGCCGAGCAGCCAUCCAGAGCCACACAUAGCAGCCAGCAGAACCCUGCUGGGUGACACAAACCAAGCGCCGAAGCCCAAGGACCUCCCUGUCCCUGGAUGGGGAGGUUGGUCCAGGUGAGCACCAUGAGGAGCAAACCCUCAGAGCCUCUCCAUGCGGCACUAUGGGAGCCAGCUUCAGGCUCCUCCUGACCCCCACC
rnacentral:lncRNA from 1 species